CACCGACUUUUCUUUCCCGGCCAGCAUUUGCCCGUAGCUGGCUUGGCUAUCUCGUAAAGAGGGGAGUCAACAGGAAUAUUAUAAAUGCUAUCCAUUGGCGUUCUUCACCAUCCUGCCACGUGCUCCGAGGCUCUUCGCUACUCCCCCUCCGCUGGAUUUAAUGUAGGACGGAUGCACGCUGGCUAUUUCAAUUCAUAUACAUAAAAUAUAAAUAUACAUAUAUAAAUAUAUACAGUCGGUGUUCUAAAUGAACAUCAGCUGCUGAGGAAGCUUUUUGUAAAAAAAAAAAUGGAAAAAAAAUGAAAAACCUUUUUUAUAAGAAAAGAGGGGAAAAAAAGCUAAAAAAAAAAAAAUCUGCAGUAGCUUAAAGCAUGAAGAUUUUUUUUUGUACAAAAGCAAACUUUAAAUCACUUAGGAUUUGUUAUUUCAGUAAUGUUUAACUUUUAUUCAACCCAUCCUUGUGUUGAGUUCAUUAAAUGUGUAUAUAUAUUAUAUAUUUUUUUUCCCUUUUUUUUGCUCUAUUUUUAAUCUAUCUCUUGCAGGUUCCAGAUGUUUAAUUUGUCAGCGCAAGCCAUGCACAAACCUUACCCUUGUGAUAUUUUUGGCUUUUUCUAAAUAAAAAUGAAAAGUUUGGGGCACAUUGAAGGGAAACUAGUUCCUUUUUGUAGAAUUUUUUUUUUUUUUUAGAGGGGUCGGGUAUUGGUCUCGUUUGACUUAAAUGCCCGAAGGAGAAGAAUGCGUGAGAUAACGGGGUCCCGGUGUCGUAGGACUGUUUGCUAGAACCCAAGGCUGGGCAGCCAUGUUUUUCCCGGUAUCGUAGGACGGUUCGCUGGAACCCGAGGUUGGGCGGCCAUGUUUUUCCCGGUAUCGUAGGACUGUUCGAGGUUGGGCGGCCAUGUUUUUCCCGGUAUCGUAGGACUGUUCGAGGUUGGGCGGCCAUGUUUUCCCCGGUAUCGUAGGACUGUUCGAGGUUGGGCGGCCAUGUGCUUGGAGCUUUCAGGCAGACCUCGUGCGCAGUGACGAGAGGCGUCUGACAAUUCUAUGAAUUGCCAGUUUACUUGUUCCCAAGACUGCGUGCGUUCUCAGUAAACGUAGUACCGGCUCGAACACGUGGGUAUGAUGAGGCAGCAGCGAAAUCCAACAUCUCCAUGUUUUACGGUGAGAAAAAGAAAAAGAACUUUUAGCCUUUUUACGAAGUGUCCCUCACUUAUCGUCACGUAGUUUUUCGUUUCACCCAAGAAGCGACUUGCGGCUUUUGUCAAAGAUUAAAAAAAAAAAAAAAUCUGGCAGCUUUUUGGAGGGGGCAGCGGUGUGACGGAGACCCGCGUACCAUCUCCUGCCGCCAUCUUGUUUUGUAUUAUAGUGUUACUGUGUGUUACCGCCUAGACUUUCCUGCUAAAACCUCACCCGCCUUUUUUCUUUGAGAAGAAAAGCUAUUACUUCCAUUGUAGAGGAGUUAUCCAAGUGAUCCAAUAUUACAAUAGUGCUAUCUGUCGUUUUUGUGCUAUUUUGAACAAUUAAAGACAUUUUUUGAA